rnacentral:rRNA from 1 species
CCUACGGGAGGCAGCAGUGGGGAAUAUUGGGCAAUGGGCGCAAGCCUGACCCAGCAACGCCGCGUGAAGGAAGAAGGCUUUCGGGUUGUAAACUUCGUUUAAGAGGGAAGAGCAGAAGACGGUACCUCUUGAAUAAGCCACGGCUAACUACGUGCCAGCAGCAGCGGUAAUACGUAGGUGGCAAGCGUUGUCCGGAUUUACUGGGUGUAAAGGGCGUGCAGCCGGGAAGACAAGUCAGAUGUUAAAUCCCGCGGCUCAACCGCGGAACUGCAUUUUAAACUGUUUUUCUUGAGUACCGGAGAGGUCAUCGUAUUUCCUUGUGUAGCGGUGAAAUGCGUAGAUAUUAGGAGGCCCACCAGUGGCGAAGGCGGCUUACUGGACUGCACCUGACGUUGAGGCUCGAAAGCGUGGGGAGCAAACAGGAUUAGAUACCCCAGUAGUC